rnacentral:snRNA from 12 species
AUGCUUUUAUUGCUUAGUUAAAAUUUUGUUACCUGACUAAUUUUAAAAAUUAUCAGUUGUGCUCUGGAUGUGCCGACCCCUGCGAUUUCCCCAAAUGUGGGAAACUCUACGGCAUAAUUUGUGGUAGUGGGGGACUGUGUUUGCACUCUCCCCUA